AUGUGAAACGACCCCCGUAGUCAAUUUCGGCUUGGCCUUAGCUUAUAUAAUAAGCCUCAUU
rnacentral:tRNA from 1 species